AUACGUAGGGGGCGAGCGUUGUCCGGAAUGACUGGGCGUAAAGGGCGUGUAGGCGGCCGAUUAAGUCUGGAGUGAAAGUCCUGCAUUCAAUGUGGGAAUUGCUUUGGAGACUGGUUGGCUUGAGUGCGGAAGAGGUAAGUGGAAUUCCCAGUGUAGCGGUGAAAUGCGUAGAGAUUGGGAGGAACACCAGUGGCGAAGGCGACUUACUGGGCCGUAACUGACGCUGAGGCGCGAAAGCGUGGGGAGCGAACAGGAUUAGAUACCCUGGUAGUCCACGCGGUAAACGAUGAAUGCUAGGUGUUGCGGGUAUCGACCCCUGCGGUGCCGGAGUAAACACAAUAAGCAUUCCGCCUGGGGAGUACGGCCGCAAGGUUGAAACUCAAAGGAAUUGACGGGG
rnacentral:rRNA from 1 species